rnacentral:rRNA from 13 species
AAAGGAUGUGGAGUUGCGUAGACAACCAGGAGGUUGGCUUGGAAGCAGCCAUCCUUGAAAGAGUGCGUAAUAGCUCACUGGUCGAGUGGUUCUGCGCCGACAAUUUAGUGGGGCUCAAGUACACCGCCGAAGCCGCGGCAAACAAUUUUUGUUUGGGUAGGGGAGCGUCGUGCAUGGGUGGAAGCGUUACCGUAAGGAGGCGUGGACUGUGUGCGAGUGAGAAUGCAGGCAUGAGUAACGAAUUGAUAGGUGAGAAUCCUAUCCGCCGGAUGACUAAGGGUUCCUGGGUCAAGUUCGUCUUCCCAGGGUGAGUCGGGACCUAAGGCGAGGCCGACAGGCGUAGUCGAUGGGUAACCAGUUGAUAUUCUGGUACCGGC